AAAAAAAUUAGUUUAGUCUAACAAUAAAAGCAGCAACUACAUAAAGUAAAAUUAUACUCCCACAUCACUACGUCUACACGUAUAUACUCCUAUCCAAUACACGCCUAUGUGUAAAAGAAAAGAGAAAAAAAAAUACAAGUACUUUACUAUACUCCCUGCCACCAACACGUAUAUACUCCUUUCACAACACAUGUUUACAUAUUCAACUCCACACAUUUGCAAAUAUAAAGAGAGAACAUAUUAACACAGUACACUUCGUCUUCCCCAAAUUUCAUUCCCACAGAAACACCAUUUCUCUCCCUCUCUAAUUCUAACACCUUUUUCUCAACACAACAGCUCUCUCACUCUGUCCCAUUCUUCCACCAAAACAAAUUCUCUCUUUCUCGGAAACUCACAUAUUUCUUCUACAAAAACAGAUUCAUCACUGCAUCUUUUCUCUUCCUCACACAAAAAAAGAAACAACACAAAACUCUCAUCUCCCACGUUCCAACAUCGGCGCCGCUUCACUGCCAGCCCCCACGCUCGGCUUCUAUCUCCGAGCAGCCGCAGUCACUGGCACUGCCUCUCCGCCGUUGUCCGCCGCUGCUCCAGGCGGUCAGCUCCUUUGUCGACAGCGUCUCGUCUCACAGUCGAACUAAGAUUAGAAGAGAAAACAAGAGAACAAGCUCUACUGAUAUUAAAGUUUGCAACUUUAUCAAGAACAACCAUUCAAUAAUUUCCAGAAUUCAACAAGAGCCUAAGUUCGAUUUCGUGAACUACUAUGAUUAUGUGAAAGCAUGUCAUAGAAUUGAAUACAGAGACUUUCAGGAAUUGUGGAUAUACCUUUUGGAAAGAAGCAAAAUUUGCACAACAGAAAGUAAUCACAGCUCUCUCGGUUUCUCCUUCACAUUGUGAUGUUAAAUUAUGGAGUCAAUAAGUAUGCACAUUUUCGUAUUCAAUGGAAUGAGGAGAAUUACCUUUGUGGAAGAGAAGAAAAUUGCACUGGAAUUGUGGAAUGGAACGGCAGAUGCUAACAGAUGCAGUUGUGGGGAAGAUAUAUAAUGUAGAGAUUGAUUUGUUUGUUAGAGAGAUUUUAGGGAGUGGAGAUUGAGGAAGGAAAUGAAAUCGUGUAGAAAGAAAUUAGGAGAAGGAAUCAGUGUUGACUAAGGAUUUGACUGUUGAUUUUAAAUUAGGAAUCGGGAAUAAAUAGCUAAAAUAAAAGUAGUCCAAUUGAAUAAGUAUAAUUGGCUAGAGGGAGAACAAAUAAGAUGUCAGGCCCAAAUAUUUAAUUUAGAACAUUGAUUAAAUUGUGGUAUUUUAUUUUA